rnacentral:rRNA from 1 species
UACGUAGGGUGCAAGCGUUGUCCGGAAUUAUUGGGCGUAAAGAGCUCGUAGGCGGUUUGUCGCGUCGAAUGUGAAAACCCGGGGCUCAACCCCGGGCCUGCAUUCGAUACGGGCAGACUAGAGUUCGGUAGGGGAGUCUGGAAUUCCUGGUGUAGCGGUGAAAUGCGCAGAUAUCAGGAGGAACACCGGUGGCGAAGGCGGGACUCUGGGCCGAUACUGACGCUGAGGCGCGAAGGCGUGGGGAGCGAACGGG